UACGUAGGGGGCUAGCGUUGUCCGGAUUUAUUGGGCGUAAAGAGCGUGUAGGCGGCCAUGUAGGUCCGGUGUGAAAACUCGAGGCUUAACCUCGAGAUGUCAUCGGAAACCAUUUGGCUAGAGUCCGGAAGAGGAGAGUGGAAUUCCUGGUGUAGCGGUGAAAUGCGCAGAUAUCAGGAGGAACACCUGUGGCGAAAGCGGCUCACUGGACCAUAACUGACGCUGAUGCACGAAAGCUAGGGGAGCAAACAGG
rnacentral:rRNA from 1 species